GCCUACGGGGCGCAGCAGUGAGGAAUAUUGGUCAAUGGUCGGGAGACUGAACCAGCCAAGCCGCGUGAGGGAUGAAGGUACAGAGUAUCGUAAACCUCUUUUGUCAGGGAACAAAGGCGGGGACUAGUCCCCGGAUGAGGGUACCUGAAGAAAAAGCAUCGGCUAACUCCGUGCCAGCAGCCGCGGUAAUACGGAGGAUGCGAGCGUUAUCCGGAUUUAUUGGGUUUAAAGGGUGCGCAGGCGGCCUGUUAAGUCAGCGGUAAAAGCCCGGGGCUCAACCCGGGCGAGCCGUUGAAACUGGCGGG
rnacentral:rRNA from 1 species